rnacentral:lncRNA from 1 species
GACCCCCCCACCCCCAGGCCUGCGAGGAGGAGGACUACAUCCGCUGGCUGAAGGGACAGGGGGACGUCCCCAAGGAGGAGCGGCUGCAGGACCUGGUCAGGGCAGCCAUGUGUCCCCGUGUCCUCAUGUCCCUGUGUCUUCGUGUCCUCAUGUCCCUGUGUCCUCAUGUCCCUGUGUCCCCAUGUUCCUGUGUCUUCAUGUCCCUGUGUCUCAGCGUCUCCGUGUCCCNNNNNNNNNNNNNNCCCAUGUCCCUGUGUCCUGAUGUCCCUGUGUCCCCGUGUCCCUAUAUCCCUGUCCCCGUGUCCCUGUGUCCCCAUGUCCCUGUGUCCCCAUAUCCCUGUCCCCGUGUCCCCGUGUCCUCACAUCCCCACGUCCCUGUGUCCCCGUGUCCCUGUGUCUCAGUGUCCCCAUGUCCCCAUAUUCCUGUGUCCCUAUGUCCCCAUAUCCCUGCGUCCCUGUGUCCCCGUGUCCCCAUGUCCCCAUAUCCCUGUGUCCCUAUGUCCCCAUGUCCCUGUGUCCCCGUGUCCGUGUCCUCACAUCCCCAUGUCCCCGUGUCCCCAUGUCCCCGUGUCCCCAUGUCCCCACGUCCCAAUAUCCGUGUGUCCCCAUGUCCCUGUGUCCCCAUAUCCCUGUCCCCGUGUCCCCAUGUCCCUGUGUUCCCACAUCCCCAAGCCUUGUGUCCCCAUGUCCCUAAACCCUAUAUCUGUGUCCCUAUCUCUCUGUCCUCGUUCCCAUGUCCCUGUUCCCUCAUCCUAGAAGCUCUCCCAACAUCUGUGACCCCACAUCCCUGUGUCCCCGUGUCCCCAAAGCCCUCCCAUGUCCCCAUAUCCCCACAUCCCUGUGUCCCCAUGUCCCCAAGCCCUCCAUCCUUAUCCUGUCUCCUUGUCCCCAAGGCUUCCUUCAUCUGUGUCCCUGUCCCCAUGUCCC